CUGUGUUACAUACAGCUUGGAAAUUUCACCAUUUGGAGCAGAAAUUGCACAGAGCGUAUAAACCUAGAAUACGAUAAGCCGACAAAAGGGAUUUAUGUUGUUAUGGAGAGAGUCUCUGUUAAAGAUUCUGGUGUUUACAGCUGCAUCUUGGACAAGACACUUCCCCCUCCUGUGAGAACGCAAAGCCAGUCUAACAUUUCCCUCACCGUGUCAGCCCUUCCAGUGGUUGAGGUUUCUUCGGCCUCUUCUUCACCCAUUGACAAGGAGACCACGUUAACUUGCAGUGCUUGGGACUUCUAUCCUGGGGACAUCCAGCUCUCCUGGAGUAAGGACAGCCAGUUGCUCACUAACUCAACAAGGAAUGACUCUCUGUUCCACAAUAGCAACGGGUCUUAUUCCUAUAUAAGUAACAUUGUUGUUUCCAAACAUGACUGGAAUGAAUUUGCCCAGUUUUCCUGCCAAGUGAAUCACUCUACACUGAAAAUGCCUGUUGUGAAAAACCUCACCCUGACUCAGUCUGGUAAAGAUAAAUGUGUACUGUGCAUUAUGACCUUCUUAGGUGGUACAAUCUACUCACUACGGUCACCUGUGUCCAAUAGGAAAUAUGGGUGUAAGAUAAAAAAUAUGAUAGAAAACAAGCUGAACGUUUUGAUAUUUUGGCUUCAGUACCUUGUUUUAAAGGCUACUUCAGAUCAACAUUGGCUCUUUUCUGGUGGGAAUUCUGACUGAGAAUAUGGAGCAGUACACAGUGCAGAACAGCUCAGAGAUACAGAAAGAUUAUUGCUUUUUAUUAUUUAUUCUUAAUUCAGUGUAAUCGGUAUUGUACAGACACAGAGCCAGACAGGACUCUGCCCCAAGAACAUACCAUGUUAGGGGAGAUUUUGAAAGUCAGUGGGAGCUGGGUGCUUACCUGCACCUUGUGCCUUGUAAAAUCUUCCCCAAAAUAGACAUUGCAAAGGGAAAGAGUUAUA